rnacentral:rRNA from 1 species
CCCAGACUCCUACGGGAGGCAGCAGUGGGGAAUAUUGCACAAUGGGGGAAACCCUGAUGCAGCGACGCCGCGUGAGUGAAGAAGUAUUUCGGUAUGUAAAGCUCUAUCAGCAGGGAAGAAAAUGACGGUACCUGAUUAAGAAGCCCCGGCUAACUACGUGCCAGCAGCCGCGGUAAUACGUAGGGGGCAAGCGUUAUCCGGAUUUACUGGGUGUAAAGGGAGCGUAGACGGUGAUGCAAGUCAGAAGUGAAAGCCCGGGGCUCAACUCCGGGACUGCUUUUGAAACUGUGUGACUGGAGUGCAGGAGAGGUAAGCGGAAUUCCUGGUGUAGCGGUGAAAUGCGUAGAUAUUAGGAGGAACACCAGUGGCGAAGGCGGCCUGCUGGACAGAAACUGACGUUGAGGCUCGAAAGCGUGGGGAGCAAACAGGAUUAGAUACCCGAGUAC